rnacentral:rRNA from 1 species
CUACGGGAGGCAGCAGUGGGGAAUAUUGGACAAUGGGGGCAACCCUGAUCCAGCAAUGCCGCGUGUGUGAAGAAGGUCUUCGGAUUGUAAAGCACUUUCACUAGGGAAGAUGAUGACGGUACCUAGAGAAGAAGCCCCGGCUAACUUCGUGCCAGCAGCCGCGGUAAUACGAAGGGGGCUAGCGUUGCUCGGAAUGACUGGGCGUAAAGGGCGCGUAGGCUGUUUGUACAGUCAGAUGUGAAAUCCCCGGGCUUAACCUGGGAACUGCAUUUGAUACGUGCAGACUAGAGUCCGAGAGAGGGUUGUGGAAUUCCCAGUGUAGAGGUGAAAUUCGUAGAUAUUGGGAAGAACACCGGUUGCGAAGGCGGCAACCUGGCUCGGAACUGACGCUGAGGCGCGAAAGCGUGGGGAGCGAACAGGAUUAGAUACCCUGGUAGUCCACGCUGUAAACGAUGUGUGCUGGAUGUUGGGUGAUUUUAUCAUUCAGUGUCNGAGCUAACGCGUUAAGCACACCGCCUGGGGAGUACNGCCGCAAGGUUAAANCUCAAAGGAAUUGACGGGGGCCCGCCCAAGCGGUG